UGACCACUAACACCUCUCAUCUGUGUCCUUGUGACUGGAGCAGUCGGGGUGACUGCUCCAGUAUCUUCAUGUUUCACUGUGAGCAUUAAAGGUAAAAUCAUGGUGUGUGAAGAAGUUGAACCUUCACCUCAUUCAUGUAUGCAGACAAACAUCACCAUGGAAACUGUUUUCUAAUAAUAAACCAAAUGUACAGAAGAGCUGCAUGAAUGUCAACACUGACCUCAUCUAACACUCUUCACACCUUUAACUUCCUCUAUUCUAUUAUGUCUGUUUCUACUGAUGUAGAGUCCCUGGAAAAGAUGACACGAGAGUCUGCAAAUUACACUCAAUAUAAAAGUUAAAAAAAUGUAGAUAUUAAAUUAGUGAAAAACUUUAAGAGAGACGGGGUAGGUAAGGAAACACAAAAGCUAAAAACUGAAAUAAUUUAGAAACAGAGGAAAAGAAAAGGAGUGAUGUCACUAUGAGGAAGUGAGCAGGAAGUUGAUGCUGUAUUCAUCUCUGAGAGCAAGAACAGAGACUGAGAGAGACAGAGAAGCACGAUGGCUGCAUUCACAUGGAUUCAAAUGUCUUCAUUACUGAUACUGAUGCUUCAGUUUAAAGGAACAACUGAGCAAAAUCAAACUGUUCAAACUGUCACAGCUGGACGUGGACAUGAUGUUACUCUGCCUUGUAAAAAUGCGAUACAAGGUCAGCAUAACUGUAUCAGUACUACCUGGAUCUUCAGUGAUUCAAGCAGUGCAGUAGCACUCUUUGAACUUGGGCAGAAUAAAGAAGCCAAACGUAAAUCAGACAGACUGAGUGUUUCUGCAGACUGUUCUCUGGUUAUAAAGAAGGUCACAGAUCAGGAUGUUGGUCGUUACACCUGCAGACAGUUCAAAAAAGCAACAGGAUCACAAGAAGGUCCAGACUUUGAGAUUGAUCUGUCUGUUAUUAACAGUGAGUAUUUACAUCUUAAUGUUUUCAGCUCAAACUGUCCUGUUAGAACAACAAACUGAAACACCACAAUAAUUAUGAUCACAGUGAUGAAGUUCAUUUUUCUAUUGUUGCUUUUCUCUUACAAUAUCUCCAUCUUCACCAGUGUAUGUACAUGAGAACAAUGAUAAAGCAUCUUGAACAGCUCUGUGUUGACAUAUGAACACUGUAGACUCACAGUUGAGUGUCUGUAUGAAGAUAAAGAGAACAUAUCCUCAGACAUGAGACAUCAUCAAAAAUGAGACUUGUUAGACUGUUAAACAUCUCACCACUGUUUCCUCUCUGUUGUUGUUGACUUACUUUCAAGUCUUUUCUUACUGUUGGUGUCUUUAAUGUUGUUAUUGCAUUUCUUUACAUGAAGAUGUGACAACAACCAAAUCAGCAACAUCACUGACACUGACAACAGCAUCAAAUAAUCCAUCAGCAGGUCGAGACUGAAUCUCUUUUUUAUUAAAGUAUAAUGUUUAUAUAUUUAUAAUUAUUUAUGUAUUA
rnacentral:lncRNA from 1 species